rnacentral:rRNA from 1 species
CCCAGACUCCUACGGGAGGCAGCAGUGGGGAAUAUUGGGCAAUGGGCGCAAGCCUGACCCAGCAAUGCCGCGUGAAGGAAGAAGGCCCUCGGGUUGUAAACUUCUUUUAUCAGGGACGAAGGAUGUGACGGUACCUGAUGAAUAGGCUCCGGCUAACUACGUGCCAGCAGCCGCGGUAAUACGUAGGGAGCAAGCGUUAUCCGGAUUUACUGGGUGUAAAGGGCGCGUAGGCGGGAUGGCAAGUCAGAUGUGAAAUCCGGGGGCUCAACCCCUGAACUGCAUUUGAAACUGUCGUUCUUGAGUACUGGAGAGGUUGACGGAAUUCCUAGUGUAGCGGUGAAAUGCGUAGAUAUUGGGAGGAACACCGGCGGCGAAGGCGGCCUGCUGGACCGUGACUGACGUUGAGGCUCGAGAGCGUGGGGAGCAAACAGGAUUAGAUACCCCAGUAGA